rnacentral:ncRNA from 1 species
GUGCGUGGCAGGUGGCUCAUGUUUGAUGUGGCGAUCUGGUUGCGGCCUUGUUUAGAAUAGACAUAAGUUGGCGGGCCAUUAGUUAACGUAGGGGCUAUGUAUCUCCCAUACUGAUUUCUAUUAGGCAUUUACUACUGUGAACGGCUAUCAGGCCAGCCCAACAAUGUAUCAGAGCUUGAGUUUUUUUCCUGUUUUUCCACUGUUUGUAGAACGGUUUUUUGCGGGUUUUCUUUGGUUUGUUCUCUUGUAUUUUUGGUUUUUGGUUUCUAGCUUACCAAGGCAAUGACCAGUAGCUGGUCCAAGAGGAUGAUUAGCUACACUGGGACUGAGACACGACCCAUACUCCUACGGGAGGGAGCAGUGGGGAAUUUUCCGCAAUGGGCGAAAGCCUAACGGAGCAAUGCCGCGUGGAGGUGGAAGGCCUACGGGUCGUCAGCUUCUUUUCUCGGAGAAGAAACAAUGACGGUAUAUGAGGAAUAAGCAUCGGCUAACUCUAUCUUUCUUUUGUUUUCUUUGAUUUUCAC